rnacentral:rRNA from 2 species
GAUGCUGGUGGUUCGCCGCUCGUGACGUCGCGAGAAGUCCACUGAACCUUAUCAUUUAGAGGAAGGAGAAGUCGUAACAAGGUUUCCGUAGGUGAACCUGCGGAAGGAUCAUUGU